CUUCACGUUGCCCGAAAUGUGUGUUUACGAACGAAUUAGCAUGCAAACGGAAGAGAGCGGCUCAAAGAUAUCGGAAGGAAAGGGUUGUGCUCCAAGUUUUUAAACGACUUAUCAUCGCUCCGAGGUUUUAUUAUCGGAUUGUCAUUGAGGGGUUCGAAGUUUCGAGGUCAACCUGUGGGCAGCCACGUUGUUUGGAUGGCUGUGGUUAAUUAUAGCACCGUUCUAGAACGGACACUUCGGACGAUAUUUCAAUCAUUCUAUGCUAUUCACACCGACGACACACUGACCGCGUCGAGUGCAAUUGUCCUGCGAGGCUACGAUACGAUACAACGCGCACAGUUCAUUGGGAAUGAAAGACGACCACAAACGAGGCUACGAAAUUGCGGGCAAAGCAUUGAAGGGUGGUUAGAUCAGAAAGUAACAAGACUCGGAGUAAGUCGACGAAAACUCACCUCUCAUGGUCUCCUCAAACUGGUCAGAGCCGUCGUACCUUCGGCGAGUGAUGAGAAAAGCUCGAGGCAUUUUCGUGAGAUGAAAGGUCCUGUCAGUCGAGAACUGGGUACAAGUUUAUUUUGGGUUAUCCUGACCACUGCGAGGAUACUUUUUUCUAAGGGGAUUCCGAAAACUAAUUUUCAACGGAUAAAUUUUCAAUAUUUUCG